GCUGGAGUCAAAAGGCGGGAACACGCAGCGCGAGCGCGCGUCCAGGAGAGAAGUUGCCCGCAGGGACGGAGGAGGCACGCCCGUCAAAUUUGCAUGUCGCUAUGCGUUGUGGGAAGUCACCCUAACCGAGCAACAUAUUAAAAUGACAGGAAAAUUGAUGGAUGACUACCUGCCAUGACCUGCCCAGUUAGGAGCUUGAUCAGACCACCCUGUGUGGUCACUUUUGGUCACUGAGCUUAUCAGGCCUGCCUUGUGGCCCCAUGAGCUUGUCAGGAUUAUUGUAUAGCUCCCUUUUCAUUCACAAUUUUUAGAGUGAAAAUGCUAAAGAUGGGAUCCACUGAAGAAGAAAGACCUGGGUCUUCAGCACCCUGUGUGCUAGCCCAGAAGUAUUAUUUGAAAGCCUCUGUUACAUCUGCUGCAGACCCCCUAAACAAGUGGACUUGCAUUUGGACAUUCUCAGCAGGAAUGGUUAUAGGCUGAUAGGACCAUAAAGGAGAUGAUGCUAGAUAGUUGAUAGAUCCUAUAGUUCAACUUCAUCCUAGUUAGAAGCUGGAUUCAUCUGACAUCAGAGAAAUGAAAUUUCAGGAGACCAAAACUAGAUCUGAGUUUCUUUAUAGAAACUUCUUUCCCAGCCUUGAAACUUGGAUGCUAUGAGUCCUGGAUAUGCAAUAGAUGAUGACAACAUUUUCCUUUUAUGUCUUUUGUAACAGAACAACCGGUUGCUAUGAUGUGCGCUGACCAUCAGCAGUAUGAAGGCGUAGAUGGAAGCUGACUUUUCUCACCAAAAAUGGCUUAUAGAAUCAACUUGAAAAACAUGAGGCAGCAAACAAAGAGUAAAAUAUUUAUUUUAUCAUCCUUAAAUUCUUUGCUAGAUUGUAAACUUCAUGAAAGCAGGAUAACUUCCCUAUCCUUAACACCUGGUCUAUAAUAAAUACUCAAAAAAUAA